rnacentral:lncRNA from 1 species
CUAAUAGUGAGCUGGCGAUAGUUUGAUGAUAUUUUACCUAAUAAUGUAGCAGGCACCAUUCAUCCCCAAAAUGCAAACCCUCGUCUCCUCCUGCCUUCACUCACACUCAGUAGCUCUGGCGAUAAUCUCCCCCCUUCAAAUCGGGAAACCAUUGUACGUUUUCCCAUUCAAAUCGACGAUAUUCAACCCAGUAGCACUUCCAUUUCCCUAUUGAAGCUUCACAUUUCGCCCAUUCAAAUCGGGAGACAUUGUAAAAGGAGGAAAGCCGUCGACGAGAUACGACCCAGAGAGACGAUUGAAAUCAACAUGAUGAUGAUGAUAAGAGGGGAAAUCUACACAUUUCUUCCCANAUAUUUAAUUUCAAUAAUGCUACUGGUACAUCAGUAGCGACCGAAGGGCGUACCUAAUUGCUGAGCUGGCAAUAAUUUGGACAAAAACGCGUGAAUGGCUUGAAAAAUUAUGAAAAUUACAGAAACACCCCAGAAGGACAAAAGUCGUCUAAAAGCCAUUCAUUUUUCAAAGCUAUUGGACAGAACAAUUCAUCCCCGUUUCUCUAUUGGACCGAGCAGAACGCCGAAGAAAAAUCGUCUCCGACUGUCGACGGCGAGCACUUGGGUUUUAGGAAUCGAUAACUUCCAGCUAUUGUAAGGGUUUUUCUCCAUUAUUGUUGUGUUUAGGGUUCGUACGUCUUUAACCCAUUUCUCUGUUGGACAGAACAAAUCGCCCAUUUUCAAGUAGUAGUUAACGGUCGACGGCGAGCACUUGGGACUUCAGAUCGACGACUUCCAACUAUUGUAAGGGCUUUUCUCCAUUAUUGUCGUGUUUAGAGUUUCUGCGUGUUUCAGUUUCGAAAUUAAUGUCGGGACAAAGCUCCGUUUCUGGUUUGUGUUCUGAGUUUGAAAUUGUGUCAGCACAUUUUUAUUCAUAUUCAUUUAUCUUUUCAUGAAGAGUAGUAACCCCAAAAUUUGUGAAGGUAGAAUCCAGUAAUUUGAUAAGUUUGAAAUCUAAAAUACCCAUGGUGUAAAAAUUAGCAACACAUUUAACAUGAAACAAAAUUGCUAUAACUGGAGAUAUUUGGCAUAUAAAUUGUAAAACCAAAGUCUUCAGUUGGCUUUAUUUUAUUUAUUUGUCUUAGCCUACCUCAAGUUGAUGCAUUUCCACCAAAUCUAAAGAAGCUGACGAUUUCAAGCACCCUACUUGAUUGGGAUCACUGUCUACUCUAGGAAUGUUGGAAAAUCUUGAGAUCCGUCAGUUGAAAGAUGAUGCAUUUAAGGGAGACCGAUGGCAGACAGAGAAGGGAGGAUUCCGUAAUCUCAAAUUCUUGUAUAUUGGAAUACUGAUUUUGUAUUUUGGGAGACACUUAGUUUUGUUUUUGUAAUUGAACUAGGACCGACUGAUCUUGUUAUUUGGUGCAAGUUGCAUCGUGAUUAACUGUAUUUAUGGUUUCUAUUAAUGAAAAGGCUUUUCAUAUUACAUUUGAACAUUCUCCUUCCAGGUUAUUAUUCAAUGUUCAGAAUAUUGUAAUGAAUGAUAUAGCAGUUAUAUACUUUUAAGAAGAUGUUUAUGUAACUAGUGAAUGAUAUAGCAG